CAUCAACAAUUCGAGAAUGAACGAUAUGCCAAAAUCUAACUGGUCCGGUUCGGUUCAAUAACCACCCAUGAUCACAAGGUUCACACUUAUCGAUCAGCAUUUCUGCUUUCUUCAUUUCUUCCGCUAACCAAGAUCACAAGGUUCCCUGCAAUUCUUAAUAAAAAUGGCUUUAGAGAUCUGUGUCAAGGCUGCUGUUGGCGCUCCUGAUGUUAUCGGAGACUGCCCAUUCUCCCAAAGAGUUCUCUUGACAUUGGAAGAGAAGAAACUUUCCUAUAAGUUGCACCUGAUUAAUGUCAGUGACAAGCCUCAAUGGUUUUUGAAAAUAAGCCCUGAAGGGAAGGUGCCAGUGGUGAAAUUUGAUGACAAAUGGGUGCCAGACUCUGAUGUGAUUGUUGGGAUUCUAGAGGAGAAAUACCCUGAGCCAUCUCUUGUCACCCCUCCUGAAUUUGCUUCUGUGUAAGCAUCAUCUGUCCAUCUUUAUAGAUUUCUCUUUGUUAGUUUGAUAUUGGUAAUCUGCUGAGUGGUUGGAUUUUGCUUCUGUUUUUUCCACUGUAAAAUGUGGAGGGUUUUGCUUAAUGAAAUGGUGAGAUAGAUAUUAUGAUUGUAUUAUUCUUAAAUUUUCUUUUACUGAUUUUAAUAUGUAGUUAUGAUUCUUAUUUUCUGCUUAUUUAUACGGUGCUUUCUCAUUUCAGUUUAUUUCCAUCAGAAACUGUUCUCUAGAGAAGUUCAUUGGUAGAGUAAAUGUUUCUGUCGUGUUCCUUCUAUAUUGAUUAUCAUUUUAUCAUCAAGCUUGGAGAAACUAUCUUUCUAUCUUUUGUCUUCCAGGUUCACGAGUUUUCUGUUUUUCUAUCUUUUUUAUGAAAAAAUUUCCUAGGAUAUGUUUUAUGUGAAACAAAUAAAUGUUUGCCUUUGCUCAUGCUCAUUUUUGCACAUGCGUGUAUUUGUGCAUGUAAUAUGUUAAUUAUUUAAUCUCUUUCUCUACUUUUUUAAUCAGUCAUCUGUUAAAAAAGCAGAUAAAUAUCUGAAAUAUAUGUAAAAUUUCAAAAAUACUUUGAAUUUAAAGUUUUUUUGCAUCCUUAACUUUGCAUCCAUAUGUUGUGUGAGAGUGCAGAGGUUCAAAGAUAUUCCCAUCUUUUGUCAAAUUCUUGAAGAGCAAGGAUUCCAAUGAUGGAUCUGAGCAGGCUUUGCUUGAGGAAUUGAAGGCAUUGGAAGAGCAUCUUAAGGCACAUGUAUAUAUAAACUUGAAACGCAAACAUAAACUCAUGGAUGAGUUUGAUUCUUUUUUAUCAUUUGGUAUAGAAAUACAGAUUGAUUUGUUGGAGCAUUGAAUCAGGGUCCUUAUAUUGCUGAGGAAAAGAUCACUGCUGCAGAUUUGGGCUUGGCACCAAAGCUGUACCAUCUUGAGGUUGUUCUUGGCCAUUUUAAGAAGUGGACAGUCCCUGAAAACUUACCUCAUGUCCACAAUUACACAAAGGUAUGUGGUUGUUGUUACAUAAGUGUUAAAAUUUGUUUUUGUUUCUGAUUUUCAGUAAAACAAAUUGAAUUGUUGUACAAAUAUAAUAUAAUUCAGUUUUGGAAAAUUACUCCUUGUGGGUUGAAAAAAUGUAGUUCCGAAGCCCACAUUUCACAUAAAGUAUAUGAUAUCUUGUUGUUUGUUAUUGCUUUUGUCCAUCCCAUGCUUAUGAUUGGCUCACAGGAAAUAAGUGGGAGAUUGUCUUUUUUUCCCUUUUCCUCAUCAAUUGCUUCGACAUAAAUGAUUAAGAAAUGGGAGCUGCACCAACUACAAUUGUAAUCAGUGGCCUUAUUUUGGUGGCUUGAUCCAUUGGAAUAAGAUGUUGCUUCUCCAAAUUCAAAAUAUAUUUACAAAAAAAGACCUCUGUUCAGUGUAUGUGUUUUGCCAAAGGUUUCUCCCGAGUUGUCUUAAGAAAAGUAUUUAUUGUGCAUGUGCAUUUGAUGAAUGGGCAAUAAUCCAUCUUGACUUGUAGUGUGCAACUAUGGCGUAGCCGUCUAAUGUGUUGAUACUACUUGCUGCGCGUCCAUUAUUGAUUUGGAAAUGGCCAUGUAACAAACACUUCAGUAUAUUGGUUUGACGAAGUUAGUCCAUCUAGUUGAAAGUUACUGUGACAUGAAGGGAAUUGGUAUCAAUGGAUUUACAAGUUUUAGAUAUUGAUGCAGUCUUGGUGUCUAACAGAGCUGAAUAAGCGAAAAAGGAUCUAUAUAGUCGAUAUGUGAUCGUAAGAUUCCCAAUA
rnacentral:misc_RNA from 1 species